AGAGGAUACCAGAAGUUGUUAGGCUAACCGUAAGGAGGCCGAUGACCACGGUAUGUUUUAUGACUGGGGUGAAGUCGUAACAAGGUAGCAGUAGGUGAACCUGCAGAAGGAUCA
rnacentral:rRNA from 1 species